UGCAGUUUCUUCUUCCUCUCUGCGUGGGUUUUCUUUCUCUCUCUAAAACUUAUCCUCUUUCUAGAUCUAUAAGCUUCAAAGCUUGAUUUCACCCACUUCUAUUUAGUUUUCGACUUUGCCAUUGAUCGGAGCAGAACUUCGUUUGGCCACCUUUGGGAUUUCGAUUUUUGGGCUGAUUUUGGGGUUUUCUCUCAAAUUUGAGGUCACAGCAAGGAAAUGGCGAAUAAUAAUCCCCCACAAGUUUAGAUGGAAUGGAUGGAACCUUGACUUCUUUUGUAAUUCAUGUAUACGUCUCUAUUUUUGUUAUAUUAUUAUUAUUUAGUUUGUUUUGUAAAGGACUAAGAAUUUGUUGACUAAGAAUUUUUUGUUGUUUUUAAGAUAUUACUCAUGCUAUAGAAAACUUCCACCACUCCACAAUGCAUUUGUAUUUUAUUUAUUUUUCCCCUUAUUUUGGCAUUUUCAUUUAGGUAGAAAGGAUGCAUGUAAUAUUAGGUCAGUCUUACCGAGAAUGCAGUAUAUUGGGUCAAAUGUGAAAGAAAGUGAAUGUUUGGGUCAAAAAAGUGGGAGGGUUACAUAUUAUGGUUGGGAAUUCAUUUAAACGGUGCAUAUUUAACUUCUAAUCUAACAUUAUUAAGUUGGAAAAUAAAAAAUAAAAAAAAAAUAAUAAUGCUUAAUUAUUAUUAUUAAAGGAGUAUUUUGGAUACUUAAUAAUUUUUCAUCUCCCAUUGAGAUUCGAAACCUCCCCUUUAAAAAGGAAGGAGUGAUACCACUUAGCUAUUUGGUCAUUUGUUGAAUUGGGUAGUGUUGUUUGAUUAAAUAGUAAUGCCUAUGUUACUUCGACAUUAUUAAAGUAAAUCAAGUUUUCUGAUUGCCGGAGUACCUAAGUAUCCGCUGCCCCGAGUAAUGUAAUAAUUUUUUUUUUUUUUUUUUUUUUGGUAUAGACCGUGACCAUUUUCAUCGGCUACCGAAAGUUGAUCCAAUGUAAAUCCCUUUUGUUAAUAGGAAAAAUUUGGACUUCUAAAAAAGAUAAGAGAUCCUGUAAAAUAUUCAUCCUAGGUUCCUACUCACUCUCCUCUCUCUCACACACGCACAUUAUGGAUUUUAUAUAUAUACACAAGGAUUAAAUACUAAAAUAGAUUACCGAAAGGUUAACCUGUGGGAUCCCUUUGGUUCACGGAUCAGAUAGAAAAUAAAUGAGAUUGAUUUCCCUUUACAACAUUCCCCAAACUUUGCUCUCUCCCUUCAAUAUCUUCCACUAUUGCUUCCAAAUUUUUUGUUGAGUGGCUCCACAGCAUCUUACUUUAAAUCAAACUAUAAUGUCUUUUAGUAAUAACAGAUGGGAAAGUGAUAUGUUUCCAAAGUCUACUACUGUUUCAUAUGAGUGGAGCACAUUACAUAAAUGCAGUCGAAUGCAUUCGACUUUAGGACGUUGUAUCACGACUCUAACAGAUAAAUUAUGAGGCCGGAAUGAAUAGAGAUCUUUAUCAAUUUGCUUAAAAUGCAGCCAAGUUAAUACUUUGAUGGCUUUUCUCUUGAUGGGAGUUUACAGGGUUUUUCUUACAUCCUAUAGAAUUCAAGAACGAAUGUCAGGCCUGACACUAUGAGAUCCAUUAUUGAUUUAUUUUGCUACACCACACCAUGAAUUCAGGCACGAAUGCCAGUUAUUUUUCAUUGACUAGAGGGUUGUCCCCUCUUCAGGUGGGAGUGUGGGACUAUUUUCUGUGAGGUUGGUCUCAAAAAAGUCGAAUCGAACCAACCUUCGCUUGCCCUGCCUGUUCCUCAAUGAUUUCAUCCCCUUGGAGAGUUUAGCAAAUGCCAAACUCUCUGUGAAAAUGUCAAUACAUCACAUAUACAUCCAACUUUUCUCACAUUACAUGGACGGUAAAGGACCCCUUCUUUCUCUAUUACAGAAGCAAUUUACUUUUCUAUAUAUGCUUGUAAUCUCGAACAACCCUAUUAAUUUGGGAAACUUGCAAUAAUGAUAAUGAUGAUGAUAUAUGUCUGUAAUGUAUGAGUAAAGAGUUUCAAAUUACAUAAAUCUAGGAUAUAUAUGUGCAUAAAAAUGGAGAGUUGAGUAGGACCCUUUUUUUAUGAAGUCAUAAUCUCAUCUUUAAUUUUGUGUCCUAUACAUGUAAUAUUCACACUCCUAUAUAUAUAAUACACACCACUUAUUCUUCACUUCUACCCCAUUUCUCUCUCUCCCUCUUUCAUUGUGUGCGCGAGACACGCAUCAACUGUUUUUAAUGUCAACGAGAAGCAGUGGACGAGUGUGUUUCAGGCCGAAUUUCGACGAUGACAAACCGGCCGUCGUUCACAAGGUUAACUCCAGUAAAACAGAUGCUGAUAAGUGCAGGCGUUUUGCAGGAAAUUGCAGAUUGUGGCUACCUAAAAGAUCAGAGUUGUCGCCGGUGAGAAUUCUCAAGCAUCUGAGUGACAAAAUGGCAACAGCUAUGCAUUUGGUGUCCUUGAGGAGGAGGAGAUCUUCUCCCGAGCCUCCUUCUUCCUCAUCAGGAAGAUCAAAGCCGUUGGUUGCUCCUAUUGAUUCUCAAAGAGCCGAAGCCAUAGAUGAUUGUAUCAAGUUCAUCAAUUCUUCUUCCUUGCAGAGAACAAAUUCUGUUUCAGCAAAUCCGCCGUAGAGUAAUUCCUAGCAUCGUAGUAGGAAGUGAUAUUUGUUUGGUUAUUGACAUUAGACAGAAUUGUAGCUCAGCAUUUAAUUUCUCAUGCUCUUGUUUGUUUCCCUGGAAAUCAUUUUGUUAUAUGUAAAAAAGUACGAUGCUUUAAUUAGUUACUACAGUAGUGGUUAGAUCUGAAAUGAUUUGAAAUUAUGUAAUAUAAAUGAGGUUGGUGUUUGUCUAAAUCUUGAGGACAUCAUUGUCUAGGUAGUUACCUUAUAAUUUCAUAUUGAUGAGAUUGGUGUUGGUCUCAA